UUAAAAAAAAUAAAAAAUUAAAACAAAAUCAAUGUCUGCAACUCUUUGAACACAAACACACCUAAACCCUAAAAUCACUCUGCGACGAAAUCACAUCAUCGCCGUUUCAAUUUCUAUCGAGAUCCUUCACAAACCCUAAAAUCACUCUCUAUGGACGAAACCAGAGAUUACAACAAUUUCUUGCUUCGUUCAUGUUGCAAUUCUCGCCACCAAUCGCAGAGCUGUGAACGUGUUCAUUCUUCAGAUCGCGUCACUUCCUUAACCGGAAACUCAUCGAUCUCACCGUGAAACCUAUCUAUCUCACUGUGAAAAUCGAUUUCAUUACGAAACUCAUCGAUCUCAUUCACGAACUUUUACGGAUCAGAGAAGAUCUGAAGGAAGCUCAAGGUAAAAUCCUUCAUCUGGUAAAGAUGUCUUUCCUUCAUUAUUUCGUUUUUUGAUUCUCAGGCAAAGCAAAGGAAUCAAGAGAUUUUACGGCUCAGAGAAGAUCUGAAGGAAGCUCAAGGUUCAUGUCGAUCCUCUCUCUUUUAAAUGCUUAUUCACAUGAUUCUGAGUUUUGAUUGUAUAACUUAGAUAUUAUUCAAGCUCAAUUUGCUUAGUUUUGGUUAACUAUAACCGAUUUAUGGCAAUUGUUGCAUACAAAAAAUAUCAGAAGAAAUUGCGAGACUUCAAUUUUGUAUAUUCUUCAGAUGAAGAUUGAAGUGAGUUUAGGAGGAAGUGGGUUAUGGAAUGAAGAUGAAAAAGCUAUGGUGAUUGAAGUUUUAGAGGAAAUUAGCGAUGGUUUCGGGGAAGAAAGAUGGUCUUAAAUCUAUACUCAGUUCUGCAGGAACAACACAACUCAUUGGAUUGGAUCUUGUUCUUUGUGGAUCUGGAUUGAAAACGGAAAAGAAAAAAAAAAGAAAAAAAAAGUCAAUGGCACAACAGCAGUAAGUUGCUGCGUGUUUUUUUUUUUUUUUUUUUGUAGUAAUAUUUUAGAGAUUUUAAUUCAGGCACGCAAAACAAUGCUGGUCAAUGGCGGAAGUGACAGUUCCGCCAUGCCUCCUUGAUGGCACAGUUGUGGGUUCCGCCAUUGAUGGGGACCUGCAUACGUCAGUUUUUGUCCCAAAACAGGGGUAUUACGAAAUUAUUUUUGAAAAUAGGGGUAUUACGGAAAUAAAUAAAAAAAGUGGGGGUAUAGUAAGAAAAAAAUCCCGAAAUUUUUAGGAUGGGAAAGGUAAUAUUGAUGAGUGAAAAUCUAUACAUGGUUUUGAAUUGGAAAAAUUGUUGUACUAGACCUGAUAAAUAUUUUGAAGGAAACAAGCUAAGAAUGAAUAGGUGAGUAGCUUAAUGGAGGUAAUAUUUGAUGUCCCUACAAAGAGAUUGAAUAGAAUUUUGUUUUUUUUUUUUAUAAAAAAAAAUUGAAUGAGUAUCAACAAGAAAACCAUUCAACAAAACUUACGUGCAGGCAUUAAUUAUGCAAAGAAAUAUGCAAGACAAGGAAUAAAGAGCUCCUUCUAAUGCUAACCAUUGUAUCUGUAUACUGAUGCUCAAUAGUUUCAAAGUAUCAAGUCAUAAAAAACAAUUCUGAAAUAAAUAUAGGAAAAUGUUAAAUAGUGACUACAUUUUCAAGGAUGCAAAAACCAAUCAAAGUUACAACUCUUAAUCAUACCCACAAAAUUAUCAUGUCUACAACUAUAGUUUGGAAUUUACCAUCAAUCGUAAAGUUUCCAAUAUUAACAUUCAUAAACAGAGAUAAUAUUAAUUCUCACCAGUCACCAAUCUAUUGCACAUAGCAAGAACAUAGCACAAGUGAAAACAAUGCUUAAACCCAAUUACAGGAUCCUUUGGGUAGAAACAAGUUCUUUUCACAUGGGAUUCCCUAUUUUAUUGUAACACUAAUAUCUAAUGGUUACAUGUUUUGCUUUAAUUUAGGGAAUUAAGCAUAUAAUUAAUCGUGCUUUUAUUUUGAUAACGGUCGGAACAAUCCUAAUUAAUAGGCUUGAUUGUUUUACCUAUAGAAAGGUUUUUACGGGACAAUAUAUAUAUGGUCAUGAGUUUUGGUAAAAGAUGAAAAUGGAAGAAACUUUAUGUAUACAUAACAUUCACUUCCAUGAUUGUUUCAUAACAAGAUAAAAUAUAUUUUCUAUACAAUGUCUGAGUUACCUACCUUGUUAAUAUUCUCGUGUCUUGAUAGCCUCGGUAUGUUUAUCACCGAGAAGAACCGGUUGUAUUUUGGGGGAGUUGCGCAAUAUAUGCGGAUAAUUCCUUAGUUCAGUGAUUACACGCCUCCGGUUAUUUGUUUUUUAGCCAUCCGCAACAACAAUCUAAGGAAUUAUGGCUGAAGAUGGUUACGGCAAUGGCAACAAGGUUGAGGUUGAUGGCUUCGCUUCUCCCACAGUUAUUUGGCACUCCAAUUGAUGGUCAUCUACACUACCGAUGUGAUUCUGUAUUUUUCUCCAAUUAUUUUAUGGCGCAAAAAUGUGGGGGUUAGUCUACUAAAGGGACCAUCAUGGUGAUCAAAUUCUUUGUAAGUUUACAUUUCCCCUUGAAACCAUCUACGAGGGAGUCAGGUGCAUAUUCUAACCUUUAAUCUCCGCAAGUUCUGAAUUUUAUGUUGAGUUUGUGAUUGUAUUGAAUUUGUCUAGCUAAAAAUAUUUGUUGUGAAUAAAAAAUUUGUGCUGAGGAACUAGGACUCUUUAGCUUAAUUCCUAAAAGGUUUCAUAUAUAUCGUUUUGCAUGUGCCGUGUUAUUGAAAAAUUAUUAUUGUUAAUUUUAAAAUUAAAUGUGUGUUUGUUUCUUUAAGUAUGUGCCUAUAGCUAUUUGGUAAAUUUUAUUAUUUAGUUUGAUCGGCUGAACUUGGAUAUAUGAGCGAUUGCUGAUAUAGAAGGAUUGAUCGUAAUAUAAAAACCUUUGCAUUUCAAUUGAUAAAAUUAGAAUUUUCUCAUAAAAGUGGACAGCUUAAUUUGAUAAUUAAUGGAAUGUUUUUGGCAAUAUGUUGGUCUUUAUAUUAAAGAGAAUACUUAUGACUAUUAGGAGAAUUGUCAUUUGUCAAACUUGAGUGUUUUUGAGAAUCUGUUUGAAAAGUUUAAUCCUUCCUCCGUAGACUUUCAUGUGGAUUUCUAGUCAUGUGAUAGUGUCAUUGGUGCUUGCAUAUAUGUGUUAAUAGUUUGUGAUAUAAUAUAGUCAUUUUCUAAUAGUUUUUUGUGGUGUGCUAUGUUAACUUGUCCUACCAUAUUUUUAAGUAAUAUGAGUAAUUUGAUAACGACAUAAAUCUUGUGGAGUUUAUAACCUUGUAUGAUUUGAGUUCAUAAGAAUGUGUGAUUAAUUACUAAGUAUCCCUUAUGAGUCUAAUAUGUACUACCUGAUCGAAAGAAUAAAUAAAUUGAAGUAAAUCCCAAUUUAUUGGAGGAUUAAUGUAUUAUUCAUUUAAUAAUUUUAUUGUAGAAAUAUUUUUGUGAUGAUCUUAACCUCGUAAAAUAUUUAAAGAGCUAUCGCUCAUAAAUUGAUGAAAAUUAUUGGUGAUAGAAUCAUCAAAUAUUUGAUAGAUGAUAUGAUAUAUUGUGAAGUACCCAUUGUAUCAAAGUUAUACAAUGAUGUUUGAUAAUAAAUCUAUAAUUGGAUCUAAUUUUCUUCUUUGUGAAGAUGUUGUCGUUUAUAAUUUAUCUAAGCAGAUUUUAUGAGGUAUAGUGUGGAUUAGCCAUUGUAUUAGAACAAUACAAUGAUGUAUCAUGAGAUUUGUUUAUGUAAAAUAUAUAUUUAAGAUUUAUUUCUCUAUUGUGAGAGUGUUAUCACUUGAAAACUAUUCAAGUAAGUUUGUGUGAUAAAUUCACAAAUGAAGUCACAUUUAUCUAAUGCGGGGUGUCGCUUAGAAAGUAUUCUAAGUAGACUUGUAUAAUAAAUUUAUGAUGAUUGGAUAUGUGCCAAUGAGAUAAAUCUAUAAGUAGAUUUAUUUUAUUGAUGAAUAAGUUGUCGCUUAGUAGCCAUCUAAGUAGACUUGUUUAAACUUAUUGUGAAAAUCGAGUUUACUUUAUAGACUCAAGAAAUUGUGAGAUAAAUUGACUUUGAGACGUCUUAGUCAAUAUUAGUGAAUUGAUCGGAUCCGUUGACUUAACUCCUGGGAAGAAAAUUGAUAGGAAUGGACUAUGCCACUGAAAACCGACAAGUAAUGGGAACCCAACCUUUGUGUUUGGAGAUCCCAUGAAGAAGGUUCAUAUGGGUAAAAACAAGUUAUUUGUUAGUUAUCUUAGCACUAAAAUUUUGUUCAUUUCCUAUGUGUUAUGAUAAUGGCUAUGAGAAGUGCUAAAUUAAAAUUAAAUUUGAGGGGUAAGCUUUAAAGGCUUUUAAUGAUUACCAUAAGCCCUUAUGGGUGGUGUAUGGUUGUAGCAUACAUUAGAUGGAAUCACCUAUAUGAGUGUCAAGUGGGGCCGCUUGCAUGAGACCGUGGCGGGUCUCUAGAGCACUCAUGAAAACCAGACACGCGCACGGCCUAAAUGCGCAACACCGCGUAACACGAGAAUUGUGGGGGUGUGAUGUGGAUGUUAUACCGCUAACAUACGCCAAGUGUCUUUGGUUCAUAUAGCUUGCUACACCAAAUUCACUGUGUGUUAAGUAUAUCAUUCUAGCACUGGUUCAUAUAGCUUGCUACACCAGUUUGAUGCAUCGCACUCAAAAGUGACUCAGACAUUAUUUUCAAAACAAGUUAAUAUUUUUAUUUUGGUUGAAAACUUUUGAAAUAUGUGGGGGAUUGUUGGAAAUUUGAGAAUAUUUCAAAAGUUUAAAUUAAUAUGUGUCUCAUAAUUUAAGUGAGAAAUCGAGAAAUAUAUUUUAUUAAAAAAUAUUUAUAUUCUAUUAUAUUUAUUUAAAUUUUUUAUCUAAAUUGACUUAGUCUUUUCACAUAGGAUUCCCUAUUUUAUUGUAACACUAAUAUCUAAUGGUUACAUGUUUUGCUUUAAUUUAGGGAAUUAAGCAUAUAAUUAAUCGUGCUUUUAUUUUGAUAACGGUUGGAACAAUCCUAAUUAAUAGGCUUGAUUGUUUUACCUAUAGAAAGGUUUUUACGGGACAAUAUAUAUAUGGUCAUGAGUUUUGGUAAAAGAUGAAAGUGGAAGAAACUUUAUGUAUACAUAACAUUCACUUCCAUGAUUGUUUCAUAACAAGAUAAAAUAUAUUUUCUAUACAAUGUCUUUGUUACCUACCUUGUUAAUAUUCUCGUGUCUUGAUAGCCUCGGUAUGUUUAUCACCGAGAAGAACCGGUUGUAUUCUGGGGGAGUUGCGCAAUAUAUGCGGAUAAUUCCUUAGUUCAGUGAUUACACGCCUCUGGUUAUAUGUUUUUUCAGCCAUCCGCGACAACAUUAAGUUAUUGGUUUGUGUUUGUGGUUGUUACUUGAUUAUUGUAUAUUUGGAGUAAUGAACUGAUUAUGCCUAUCAAAAUUUCCAUGUUACUUGAUUAAGAGCCUUAUUAUUGGGCAUGGGCACAUUGGAGAUGAUUAAGAGCUUUAACAUUGGUGUUUAUUUCUGCUAUCAUGCAACAAUCCUCACCUUACAUAACUUGAUUGCUUUUUUAACAUUGGUGUUUAUUUCUGCUAUCAUGCAACAAUCCUCACCUUACAUAACUUGAUUGCUUUUUUGCAGCUUUGUUGGGAUCGGAAUUCUAGUUUGAGUAGUAAGUUAUUGGAUGUCUUAGAUGAUACGUUUAGGUGUGUUGAAAAGUUUUGCAUAUUUGUAUAGCAAACUGAGAUCACAUUGAAACUAUGUUUAGUUAAGAAAUCAUGGUCAUGAUGAUGAGUUUUGUGUUAAAUUUUUAAUGCAUGAUGUUGUCUUGUCUUUUUCUACCGUUUGUUUCAGAAACUCAUUGACUUUUUUUAAUUUGCUCUAACAACAUAUCUUCUCGUGAGGGUAUAUAGAUUAUCCAAAAGCAUUUAAUUGAGUGUGAAAGGGUGAGUUAUCUAUGUGAGGAUCUUAUUGCUUAUAUGUUGAACUAGGAGUCUGAAUGUGUUAGUUUGCUUAUCUUUAAUUCUGUUUUACAGAAAACAUUUACAUGGGCUCGAGAACACAAAGACAAAGUGUGACACAAUUUUGAAAAGAGUAGCGUUAUUUGGACAAUAAUUUUUUGGACAACUUUUGGGACAACAUUUUUUCCCUUUAUCUUUUGGGACAAAAACAUUAAAAAAAGUGAUUAGGAGAGAGGGUAAGAUUCACAAUGAGAGUGUGAGAGAGAAAGUUGUCUCAAAUGUUGUCUAAAAUUGAAUGUACAAAUAUAAUUUCUCUUUUGAAAAAAAGGGUGCAGUUAAGAUGUGUCGGAUAUUGCAAGAAGUUUGGAUGGGAGAGGGAGUGUGGAAUGACUCGCCGAAAUAUUGGAUGACUUGAUGAAGAAUUUUAUUCCUAACUUAAUGAUUAGGACAUUUUGGGAUUUAUGUUUUUUGACUUACAUUUAUGAAAUUUAUGAAUAUUGGUUUUGAUA